UACAGAGGGUGCGAGCGUUGUUCGGAAUUAUUGGGCGUAAAGCGCUUGUAGGCGGCUUGUUAAGUUCCGUGUGAAAUCCCCAGGCUUAACCUGGGAAGUGCGCGGAAAACUGGCGAGCUUGAAUGCCGGAGAGGGUCGCGGAAUUCCCGGUGUAGAGGUGAAAUUGUGAGAUAUACGGGUCGAGGAACGAACCAGUCAGG
rnacentral:rRNA from 1 species